GCUCGGAUGGUGGAAUGGUAGACACUAGGGACUUAAAAUCCCUUGGGAGUAAUCCCGUGUGGGUUCGAGUCCCACUCCGAGCA
rnacentral:tRNA from 1 species